rnacentral:rRNA from 1 species
UAAGACAGAGGCCCCGAGCGUUAAUCGGAAUUACUGGGCUUAAAGGGUGCGUAGGUGGACCAGCAAGUGCUUUGUGAAAGCCCCCGGCUCAACCGGGGAACAGCGGGGCAUACUGCUGGUCUUGAGGAAGGUAGGGGCCGCGAGAACUGUAGGUGGAGCGGUGAAAUGCGUAGAUAUCUACAGGAAUGCCGAUGGUGAAGACGCGCGGCUGGGCCUUUCCUGACACUGAGGCACGAAAGCGUGGGGAGCAAACAGGAUUAGAUACCCUGGUAGUCCACGCCGUAAACCAUGCACGCUAGAUCGGGGUGGCUCUGACGCCGGCUCGGUCGAAGCAAAAGCGAUAAGCGUGCCGCCUGGGGAGUACGGUCGCAAGGCUA